rnacentral:rRNA from 1 species
UACGAAGGGGGCUAGCGUUGCUCGGAAUGACUGGGCGUAAAGGGCGCGUAGGCGGUUCGUACAGUCAGGCGUGAAAUUCCCGGGCUUAACCUGGGGGCUGCGUUUGAUACGUGCGGGCUUGAGUUCGGAAGAGGGUCGUGGAAUUCCCAGUGUAGAGGUGAAAUUUGUAGAUAUUGGGAAGAACACCGGUGGCGAAGGCGGCGACCUGGUCCGAUACUGACGCUGAGGCGCGAAAGCGUGGGGAGCGAACAGG